rnacentral:lncRNA from 1 species
AUGUGUUUAUUGUGGUCACCAGUGGGGGGCAUUCACCUGCUUAAACAGCCAGGAAACCUUUGGGUUACAUGGGCUAAUCAGACGGGGAAUAUGCAUUUUUGCCUUGCUUUACAAUCAGCUGCCUCACCCUUUCAAACGUGCCUUAUUGGGAUUCCGGAAUGGGAUGACUCGGUGUUUAUGGGAUAUCUUGGGAAGGGCCCGCCUUAUUACCGGGAUCACCGUUGUUACCGUGACUGUAUGAACUUGAAAUCUACCUUAAGGGCGUUAGGAAAUGAUACCAUGGAUUAUUUGGGAAAAAGGAUGGCAUGUAUUAUCUGUAGGUUAAAUGUCACUCUUCCAGGGGACCCCGAGGAAGUGGAGUUGCUUGGCUCUCAGGCAGUGCAGAAUGACACUUGGGACACCAAUAGUUUGCAGUGGCUGAGCCCUAGAUGCUUAUUUUUUGGCACACAAAGGAAACCUCUAGAUAUGCUGCAAUUCCUGGGGCAUGGAGGCCCUUAUUGGGAUCACAAAACUGACCAAUCUGCUCCAUUUACUCUUGUAUAUCCCCGGAAUAGCCGGACCUUUAACGGAGAUGGGGAAUAUUGCGGUUUCACUCCUAAUGUAACAAGGGCAUACAGUCCACUGAAUCCAUUGAAUGGGUCCUGGGUUCCACCAGCAACGACUUUUAAUGUUAGCAGACCGGAUGGAUCGGUUAGAGAGGUAUAUUGUGGGAAUUAUUCCAGGUACAAUGGCUGCGUCAUUGCCUCCUUUCCCAAAGGCUCAGGCAUAAAUGCAAUUUCCGUCUGGAAUAAUAAUACCGCUAAAGCCUUACCCCCAGGAAUUUUCCUUAUCUGUGGGGAUCGCGCUUGGCAAGGGAUUCCAAGAAAUGCAAUAGGGGGACCCUGUUAUCUAGGAAGGUUAACUAUUUUAUCACCCAACAUUACGGAGGUAUAUAAGGCACUCAAUCACACUCGACCUAAGAGAGGAAUUCACGCCUUGGAUUCUGAAUGUGGCGAUGAUGUUAAAUUGUGGGGACCCACGGCAAGGAUCUUUGCUUCGUUCCUUGCCCCUGGGGUAGCGGCUGCACAUGCUUUGAAGGAAAUUGAAAGAUUGGCUUGUUGGACUGCAAAACAGGCUAAUGUUACUUCUCAACUCCUUUCGGACCUACUUGUAGACGUAAGCGGCAUUAGACAUGCUGUACUUCAGAACAGAGCAGCUAUAGAUUUCUUGCUUCUGGACCAAGGACAUGGAUGUCAAGAUGUGUAG